CCCAACAAAUAAACAGUGAAUCAAUAUGAAGUAGCUAUAAAACUGUUCUAUACAUACAUCCCCAUCUCAAGAAAUUCUGCACUAUGAACCAAGAAAAAAAAGAAGAAACAUUUUGCAAAAGUGAAAAAAACUAGACAGAGAAAGAUUUUUACAUAUAAUACUUUAAUGUUAAGUUUCAACUCCUACGAUGUCGUUGAUUCGAAUGGCAGACACAAUGUCUGAACUCUAGAAGGUUCCGUUCCGUUCCGUAAUUGGCAGAUACGUCAUUCUUGAUUCUUGUACAUGUAAAAACCUGAAAACCACGAGAAAAUUAAAAGGCCAAAAACAUUACUUAAACGAGGUCAUUAAUUGAUCGAGUAUUAAAUUAUCGAAG
rnacentral:lncRNA from 1 species